rnacentral:rRNA from 1 species
UAGGGAAUAUUGCACAAUGGAGGAAACUCUGAUGCAGCGACGCCGCGUGAGUGAUGAAGGCCUUCGGGUUGUAAAACUCUGUGAUAAGGGAAGAUGAUGACGGUACCUUAUCAGAAAAGACCGGCUAACUUCGUGCCAGCAGCCGCGGUAAUACGAGGGGUCUAAGCGUUGUUCGGAAUCACUGGGCGUAAAGCGGGUGUAGGUGGCUCAGCAAGUUAGAUGUGAAAGCCCCGGGCUCAACCCGGGAAGUGCAUCUAAAACUACUGAGCUUGAGUACGGGAGAGGGAAGCAGAAUUCCUGGUGUAGUGGUGAAAUACGUAGAUAUCAGGAGGAACACCGGUGGCGAAGGCGGUUUCCUGGCCCAGUACUGACACUCAGACCCGAAAGCGUGGGUAGCAAACAGG